rnacentral:rRNA from 1 species
CGGGUGGGUAAUACAUCGGAACGUGCCCGAGAGUGGGGGAUAACGAAGCGAAAGCUUUGCUAAUACCGCAUACGAUCUCAGGAUGAAAGCAGGGGACCGCAAGGCCUUGCGCUCACGGAGCGGCCGAUGGCAGAUUAGGUAGUUGGUGGGAUAAAAGCUUACCAAGCCGACGAUCUGUAGCUGGUCUGAGAGGACGACCAGCCACACUGGGACUGAGACACGGCCCAG